CUUCCCUGUGUCCAUCUCCUCCACACCUGGUACCAUCACACAGAAGCAGAGAGGACUACACUUGGUGAAAGUUUCAAUUCUCCCGCAUUGAGGAGGGGGUACGCCCCGCCCUCUCUUCGUGGCGAUCUGAGAUCCAGAUCGUGGAGACCCUGGAGAGGCCCCCGACCUCGUUUCUGGGGCGGGGGUCAGAGACAGAGCCUCAUCCCGGAGGCUCAACACGCGGAUAUCUGGAUAGGCGUCCAUCACUCCCCUGGCCAGAGCCCUCCACCCCUCCUCGAGGUCCGACCUUGUCCCUCCUUCUACCCCACAGUCCCUGGUCCCAGCUCAUCUGCAUAAAGCUCCAAUUAACACGU